GACGACGCUGGCGGCGUGCUUCACACAUGCAAGUCGAACGGGGAUAGAGCGCAGGCUUGCCUAUGCUCUUUCCUAGUGGCGGACGGGUGAGUAACACGUGAGCAACCUGCCCGACAACCCGGGAUAACAGCGGGAAACCGUUGCUAAUACCGGAUACUCCAGUAUUAACGCAUGUUAGAACUGGGAAAGGGUUUACCGAUGUCGGAUGGGCUCGCGACCCAUUAGCUUGUUGGUGGGGUAAUGGCCUACCAAGGCUGCGAUGGGUAGCUGGUCUGAGAGGACGAUCAGCCACACUGGAACUGAGACACGGCCCAGACUCCUACGGGAGGCAGCAGUGGGGAAUUUUGGACAAUGGGGGCAACCCUGAUCCAGCCAUGCCGCGUGAGUGAAGAAGGCCUUCGGGUUGUAAAGCUCUUUCAGACGGAAAGAAAACGCAUCGGUGAAUACCCGGUGUGGAUGACGGUACCGUAAGAAGAAGCACCGGCUAACUACGUG
rnacentral:rRNA from 1 species